rnacentral:rRNA from 1 species
UACGGAGGGUGCGAGCGUUGUCCGGAAUCAUUGGGCGUAAAGGGCGCGUAGGUGGCCCGGUCAGUCAGUGGUGAAAGCGCGGGGCUCAACUCCGCGUCGGCCAUUGAUACUGCUGGGGCUGGAGCACUGUAGAGGCAGGCGGAAUUCCGGGUGUAGCGGUGGAAUGCGUAGAGAUCCGGAAGAACACCGGUGGCGAAGGCGGCCUGCUGGGCGAGUUGCUGGACACUGAGGCGCGACAGCGUGGGGAGCAACAGG